UUGGGUAGGGGAGCGUUCUGUAAGCCUGUGAAGGUGUGUCGUGAGGCAUGCUGGAGGUAUCAGAAGUGCGAAUGCUGACAUAAGUAACGAUAAAGCGGGUGAAAAGCCCGCUCGCCGGAAGACCAAGGGUUCCUGUCCAACGUUAAUCGGGGCAGGGUGAGUCGACCCCUAAGGCGAGGCCGAAAGGCGUAGUCGAUGGGAAACGGGUUAAUAUUCCCGUACUUGGUGUUACUGCGAAGGGGGGACGGAGAAGGCUAUGUUGGCCGGGCGACGGUUGUCCCGGUUUAAGCGUGUAGGUGUGUGUUCCAGGUAAAUCCGGUU
rnacentral:rRNA from 2 species